UGGUGUGAGCCUUGUCCAGCGUGUGUGACUGGUUGACCAGAGGGGCAAGCACUCUGUUCAUCCUGGGGGCCACCUAGCCACCAACCCUCAGCACCCACCCCGCC
rnacentral:pre_miRNA from 1 species